AACAUCCACUUAUUACUUUUAUUAAUAUCGUAUUGGGUUAAGAAAUGAACUCGCAGUUAUCAGUUGGAUGUACUCAGGCCAGGCCGAAGCUUCCGACUGGCGCACUUAAAAAAAAAAAAGCUGAACGUCAGUUGGAAGUCAGACCCUCAUCCCGGCGGUCAGCGCUAAUUAUCCGUUAGGAACAGUUUGACUGCAGCUCUUUUUUUUAAAUUUAGCUAUGAAUAGAGACGAUAUUGUAGUUAAGGUUGUGUCCGGGAGCUUGCUCAGUGACCCACUGUGUUUAUAAACGAAGCUAUGAUAAAAAUAUAUUUGUAUUUGCCGGUUUACCAAGGAAAACAUCAUGCUAGUAACAGCCUAAUUACAAGUGUAAGGCUGCAGUCAGUAGGAUUUACGAAGGGAUUAUAUAUAAAAUGAAGAAAUUACCUGUUUUGCAGUAAAGAAGAAGACCGCAACCACAGAGCAGUCAUGCAUGCAUGGCUGUAAACAUCCACACUGUCAGUAAAAAGCAGCCAGACAGGCUACAUCAUCACGUCCAGGAACUGCUUCCCCACCUCCUGCUAUCAGUGUGGUUAUUAAAGUCUCCCACGUUUCAUUCUUGUUGGAGCAGGUUAAACAAAUCUCCUAAGCACUGCAGGCUCUUCUCUGCUUUGUCCCAAAGAGAGCACCAGCAGCUAUGCUUGCCUUUUGGUUGGUGGCAGAGCAGGAACAUGUGGUCAUGCAGCGGCCAAUGCCGAGCCCUGAGCAGGCGAUCGGUGCUGUCAGAGCAGCAGCAGCAGCAGCAGCAGUGCUGGCACUGAAAAGGAACUCUGCAGAAAGAAGCCCAUCUAAAAGAGACAGAGAGA